UCUUGGUCAUUUAGAGGAAGUAAAAGUCGUAACAAGGUUUCCGUAGGUGAACCUGCGGAAGGAUCAUUAACGAGUUCUUGAGAUGGGGUUGCAGCUGGGUCCUUCGGGGCCAGAGUGCUCGCCUCGCUCAAAUCCACUCUCAAACACCUGUGCACUUAUCUUGAGGGGCCUUCGGUGCGGAGCCCUCUUCCGAGGGGGUGACGUCCUCGGCCUCUCAAACCCUUUACACAAAACCCCUUUGUAUUUUGAUUGUAUGUAAAUUGAUGUAAAAUAAACACAACUUUCAACAACGGAUCUCUUGGCUCUCGCAUCGAUGAAGAACGCAGCGAAAUGCGAUAAGUAAUGUGAAUUGCAGAAUUCAGUGAAUCAUCGAAUCUUUGAACGCACCUUGCGCUCCUUGGUAUUCCGAGGAGCAUGCCUGUUUGAGUGUCGUGAAAUCUUCAAACCCCCUUUGGUUUUCCCAAAGGGUGCUUUGGAUCUUGAGGGUCUGUCGGCGGCCGUCGACUCCCUUUCAAAAGCAUUAGCCUCUUCUUUUUCCUCUUCUUUUUCUGGCGUGAUAGUCAUCUGCGCCUGGCUCCGAAAAGGAAAGGGAAGGAGCUUCCAACUCUUUCACCUUAAAUCUCUGACCUCAAAUCAGGUAGGAUUACCCGCUGAACUUAAGCAUAUCAAUAAG
rnacentral:rRNA from 1 species